AGGAGUAACAACAUGCCAGCUUUACAGGAUAAACAUUACUAAUCAUUGGCACGUUGUCAUCUCACGGACAAGGGUCAAAGAUCACUUGUCCGAAUGCACAAGAUCUAGCAUUCGCUAGGUUUUUUUAUGCCUGUUCGGACA
rnacentral:ncRNA from 1 species